AAGGUCCUUGUUAGUUAUCUAUUUUAUAUAUAGUAGUGUUAAUCUCAAACCGCUCUUUUAUCUCUCCCAGCACCGUCAUUUCUUGUGUGAGCUUAGCUUUAGUUAAGCCACUCAGGCUUUAGCUAAUUAGAGCUGCCAAUUUUUGAAUACCUACUAUGCCUCAGGCAUGACGCUGAAUUUUCUAUAUACUUUUUCAGUGUAACCCUCAAAGCUACACUGAGGUGAAUAGUCUUCCUCUCAUUUUACAGUUACUGAAGUGAAAUAGCAUGUCAAAGGUCAUCUAGGACUUGAGCCAGAAAUUUAACUCAGUCCUGUUUGAUAACACAACCUGUGGUUUUGUUUUGGUUUUUGUUUUGUUUUGUUUUGUUUUUUGUUUUUUCUGUUCAGUUGGUUGUUUUUUCGUUGUUGGUUUUGUUUUGUUUUUUUUUUAAUUUAUUUUAGUGUCUUUUUAGGGCCACACCCAUGGCAUAUGGAAGUUCCCAGGCUAGGGGUUGAAUCAGAGCUACAGUUGGCGGCCUACGCCACAGCCACAGCAACGCUGGAUCUGAGACGCAUCUUCAACCUACACCACAGCUCAUGGCAAUGCUGGAUCCUUAACCCACUGAGCAAGGCCAAGGAUUGAGCGAAUCCUCUUUCCAUGCAUACUAGUCAGGUUCAUUACCACUGAGCCACAAUGGGAGCUCCCGAAUCUAUUUAUUUUUUUUAAUUUUUUUUAAGAACUUGAGGCCAGCAAUUCUUAAGGAAUGAACUUAAUAAUAAAUUAUUUCCUGGUCAUGUUCUGUGACCAAUUUAAUAUGGGGAAUGCUGACUACAGUGUCCCUGUCAUAAAGACCCACAGUGUAAUUUUGUAUCUAGAAAGUUCUGUGAAGUCCUGGAGUGAGAAAUACUUAACUUUUUUUUUUUUUCCAACCAAGAAUUUCCCAUAUUAAAUGGACCAUCAGUCUUUUUUCCUGUAACAUCUUUUCAUGGUCUAAGAGGCAAGUGCUCCUCGGAGACUCACAGCUGGGAACCACAACUGAAGCAGAAUUAAAGGGAUUACAGAGUUUAUCCCACUAACUAUAAGACUUCUAUGAACAACAACUUUUUAAAACAUCUCCAUGAAUGAGAGGCUCACUACCUGGCCAGACAGCUUGUUCCAUUGUUGUACAAAUGCACUGGUUAGAACAGCACUGCCCAAUCGAAAGAUACUGCAAGCCCCAAGUAUGGCUCUAAGCUUUCUAGAAGCCACAAGAAAAAAACUAAAAAGGACAAGCAAAAUUCAUUUUAACAAUAUAUAUUAUUUACCCUCAAUGGAUCUAAAAAUAACAUUUCAGUAUGGAACCAAUAAAAAAUGAUGGCGAUAUUUUACCUUUUUUUAUUAUUGUCUUUAAAAUCCAGACUAGCCACAUUUCAGGCACCCCAUGGCCACAUCUAGCUAGUGUCUACCAUACGUAGAACACAGGUUUAGAAGAUUCUCCUUUAGGCCGAGCUAAGCUCUUCCUGCCUGUGCCUCUCCCCCAUGGGUUCAAGGGUGCCGUCUGCAAUGAUAACUCAGUCACCAGCCCUGGGGAUGAGUUCUGCUAGGCCUGCUAACUGGAUCACCUUACUGUACAGUAGAAAAUUAACAGAACACUGUAAACCAGCUAUAAUGGAAAAAAUAAAAAUCAUUAUAAAUGGGGAAAAAAAAGAAAGAAAAGUGCUAUAUAAUGCAAGGCCUCAUUCUCCUAACUCCUAGCGGGGCAGCCUGCCUGUCACCAGGGUUUUUAGCGGUCUCAUCACACCAUUAUUUUACAUUAAACCUACAGCUGCUAAGACAAUGCCUGGCCUGGCGCAACUUCUACUUUCUGCUCCCCAGGCCUCCGUUUCCCCAUCUGUCCAAUAGUGGAUUUGACUUUUCUAUGAUUCAGACCUUUCCCAUGUCUUUGUAUCCAAUACCACUCCCUUGAUCUUCUGACUAAAUCUUCCUUUAAACUACGUCUUAGAAUUGAGGCACAGUUACAGCCUCCCACAUACCCUAAUAAUAAGACCUUUCUGGGUGUUCCCCACAGGUCAGGCAUGGUGUGCUAAGAGCCUUAUAUAUAGCACCUCAUUUAAUCCUCCCCACACCCAAGUGAAGUAAACAUUAUCAUUAUUCCCAUUUAUAAUUGUGGAAACUGAGGCAUCAAAUGGUGAGUCAUAGUCACACACCUAAGAAGGGGAACAGCUAGAGAUUCCAGCCUGGCCCUCCUCCCGGCUCCCUGAUCCCAGGCUGUGAAUGCAUCUCUAGGCCUUAGACCUGAGCUGAGCCCAGACCUCAGAUAACUACCAAAGGAACAAGGGAAGCUGCCUCUUGCCUUUUGUUGUUGCUGCUGCUAAAAUCUGAGUGUCCCCCUUCUGUUUUGCAGAGGAAGGAAAUAUUGUUAUCGUUUCCUCCCUAAGGAAAUCCUACUCUUUACAAGUUGACUUUCCUCCCAUCCCCUUGACCUUCCAGGGAAGGGGCUGAGGUCCCUGAAGGCUGGAGCAGACCUGAGUUGCUCAGGGUGCCUGUCUGGAGCAGGGGUAUUUUUAGAGUUGGCUGCACUGUUUACUAGGAAGCCAGCCUGUCCCCUGAACCUUCCCUCUGUCUACGGGGGAGCACUGGCUGCCGGUCCCACCCACUGCCUCUGCGGCUCUGGCCCUUCCUCCCUCCCUCCCAGCUGCUCCUUCCCUGUCCUCUCUGUCACUACGUGGACUCUCUCAGCACAUGGGUGCACUGUCAUUACGACCCUGGGAGACAGCAGAGCAGGCAGAACUGCAGCCCAUGGCGCUGAAAACCUCCUAGGGUGGCCAGCUGUGCCCUGGCCUCCAGACUCCUCAGAGGAAGCGUCACCCUCCUCUGUCCUGUGGGCAGGCUGGACUUCUCCAGCGGCUGAAAGAGGUUCGGGGAUUGUUACUAGAAGCUGCUCUAUUCCCACCAUGCCUCCUCUGCUCCCUCCUCCACCCCCCCCACUUCUAUUCCCACUUCCCUGCCCCCCCAGCCCCUUCCCCAUCCUCCUCCUCCUCUUCCCCACAGCUGUGCUUUUGACACAAGCAAUGGCAUAUGUAUUCCUAAGGAGGGGGAGUCCCAGCAGAGGGAAGAGGAAUUGACUUCCCUCUGUGACUUCAUGCCUCCCCAUUCCCCACACUUGGUGGUCUCUGAUGUGCCAGGCACUGGGCCAGGCACUCAGGGGUGUGGCCAGGUGCAAACCCCACCCAUGGGCUAGUUAGCCUGGUGGGCUCGAGUCAGGGUAGCCCUCCCAGUUGAUUGGGAAAGUUGCACAUUAAAAAAAAAAAAGUGUCACCUUUGACCACCUUGUCUGCUGUCUAAGGCCCUGCAUUCGCACUUUCUCCAGUGUCAUUUUACUGUCAUACAGGUGCCACUAUUGGAGACUAUAACAACAGAAAGAGGUGGCCCUUGUCCCCUCCCCCUGACCACCAGGCACAAGAAAUGGCUUGCUUAAUGGGACAAAAGGCUGAAAGAGUAACAGUGCCAGCAAGUAAGUUUGACAGGUGUGACUGGAGUGUAGGGUCUGGCAAGGGAGAAAGUCAGGUGAGCAGACUGGAGACCCAGGAUGGAACUGUCGUGCCAGGAGCCCACCACGGGAAGCCACGGCCACUCCUGUCCUGCGUCAGGGGCCGCCUCAGCAAGAAUGUCAGUCUGGGCUGCAGGAGGGAGAAACAGCAGCAGGGAGGCCCCCCAGGACACAGCGACAGGACUUCUGGGCUUAAUCCUUCAUCCUUCCUUCUAACACCCUAGACUUUGCAAACCCGAACAUUCCUGGGAUGUGCUCAUUUCCAGUCCUCUCCUCACCCACAUUCUUCGUCUUACUAGCUGGUGACCUUCGACAAGUUGUGUGGCUUGAUUUCCUUUACCUGUAAUUCAGAGAAAGUGCAUGUGCCUAUGUGCACACACUCAAGGGUAUACACACACACACCCCCAAAGGGUUGUUAUGAAGCUGCAGUAAAUAAGACUGUGGAAGGAAGCCUUCUGGAAAGCACAGGCUGUACCGAUCUCUCCUCGCCUGCCCUCAGCUGCUAUUCCCAUUCCACGAGGGGAAAUCCUUGCCCGGAAAGCCCUGCUCGUCUUGGCGUGGGGCCCAGGGCGGGCGCCCCCGUGGAGGCCAGGUCUUUCCCUUCCCAUUUCCCUUGUUGAUUCCAGUGCAACGGUUGCUGGCUUGCAGGUGGACAGCCAGGGCUCUGAACUUGCCCUGCUGCAGGGAUAAGGUCCCCCUUGGCUGCUUAGGCUCUAUGGCUGACACUGGGGACCUGGAGAGGUUCAAGGGGCCUUGGCGAGGGAAGGAAUCUCAGGUAUCUCAACGGAGAUGGAUGGGGAUUUCUCAUGUUCAGGCUAUACAGCUCAGAGUUGAUAUGCCGCCUCUACGAAGGCCUUUGGGCAAGAUGAAGAGGCGAUGCUGGGGAGGUGCUCUGAGCCAGGGAAGAGGGGCGACAUGGCAGCGGGGCGGGGAGCAAGAAUCCCAGGAAGCGGACAGAACUUCAGGAAGGCAGAGGUGUGGGUGAGCAGGAAGCAGGAGCACUUGCAGGCAGCCUGCAGCUCCUCCCCGCACCUACCUGCUGCUGAGCUGGCCUUUGGCUUUGACCUCUCCUUCUUCCCCCCUGCCCCCACCCCCACUGAUUAACGAGUCCCCAGGUUUUCAGGUCUUAGAUGUCUCCAGUACACUUCCUCUCUCCUCUAGUCCUGUGGCCACUGCCUGCAACUCACAGCCCUUUCUGGCUUCACCAGACUGCCUGUGGACUCCCUGCCAUGAAAGGAGUUACCUUUUCUUUGGCAGAGACCUGUAACCCCCUCCAUUGGACCUGUUGGUUUAUCUUAUCCAUUUCUGUCAACUCCAAAGCCACACACCCUGUUCUUACCUGCAAAUCUUCAUACAGGGUAUGGCACUUAGCAUAGGCUGAAAAAACAAUUUUUUUUUUCUCUUUUCCGGAAUGGGGAAAUAAAUAAAGCCAAAAAGGAAGGAAGGAAAGAGAGUAAAUUUGAUCUUCAAAGAGCAUCGGUUCCUCCCUGCAUCUGGAACUCACUCCUAGGUAUCUCUAAGGCUUGCUGCCUUCCACCUUUACAUCUUUGCUCCAAUGGCACCUUCUCAGUGAAAGCUUCCUAGCACCACAUUUAAAUUUACCAGAGCCACUGCCCUAGGUAGGCUCUGUCCUUCCCUGUGUUGUCUUCUUCACACUUAUCACCAUCUGACACCUUACAUUUUCCUGAUUUUGUAUGCAUUUACUGUCUGUCUCCCCUCACUAGAAUAUGAGCUCCCUGAAGGCAGGAACCUUUAUCCUAUUGAUUCAUUUCUGUGUCUCUGGCGCCGGAAAUAGCACCUAACAGAUAAUGAGCAUUCAGAAAAUAUUUGGAGGAUGGGUGGAAGGAAACAAGCAAGUAGUGAACACCAGUUAAGUCAGUCCCCACUCUGCAGAUGAGGGAGCUGAAGCAGGGAGAGUUUAUGGGCCCCAGGUCACAGAGGGAGUUGAUUGCAGAGUUGAAUGGAUGUGAGUGGGUAGUGGGAAGAAGCAUGGGUUGCUUGGAUUGGGCCUGAAAAGAAGGACCUGGAACCCCAGGUGGAAAGUUUGGUUCUAAGAUCUAGGGCAUAUUCUCAGUGGAGAAAUGACAGAGCCCGGGGGAGACUGGUCUGACCUGCAGAUUGGACGAAGGGGCAGUACAGAGUUUCACUGGAGACAUAUAUUUAGGCUGUUGCUGUUUGAUCAAUAGCCUGGAUUUAUAGAAAUCCUGCCACUCUGUCUUCCUAUGGGAAAAGCCAUUGCUUAUUCACCCUGGAAGGGCUGACAGCUCAAAGGAUUUCUGAAGGUUCAGGACCAGAGUGAGUGGGGCCCCUGGAUGCCUAACAGCUCUCCCGCAAGCCUCCCCACCUAGGCUGGAAUGUUCCCUUUUCCGUGAGGUCUCUGAUAACCGAACUGCAACACAGACUUCUCUCUUUGGCAGUGAAAGGCCAGAGUCUGACACACAGUAAGAUUUUAGGGACUACUUAUUGAAGGAAAAAUUGUAAUUAGAAAAUUGUUGAGGUGUUCUCUUGCAGUACAGUGGGUUAAGGAUCUAGCAUUGACAUGGCUGUGGCGCAGGUUCGAUCCCCGGCCCGGGAAUUUCUACACGCCACAGGCACAGCCAAUAAAAUAAAAUAAAAUUAAAUUAAAAUAAACAAACCAUCUCCUCAUUCUCCGAACUCUUCUAAAAAGAAAAACUGUUGCUGUUAUGGUGAUCAUUAGAUUCAAUCAUGGGGG
rnacentral:lncRNA from 1 species